rnacentral:piRNA from 1 species
UGGUAGAGCUUAAGGUGAAGAUGGAAU